rnacentral:tRNA from 1 species
AUUUAAGUAAUUUAAAAAAAAUACUGAUUUGUGGUAUCAGAAAUGUAAUAUUAUUUACCUUAGAUU